GGUGGCCUGCGAGGUUCGAGCAGACAACGCGGCGGCGAUGUCCGCGAGCCAGGUGCUGUGGCGGUAGCGGCGGGACCUCGCGCAUGGCUGGGCGGCCUGGGCUGCGGCCUCCCCGCGGGUCCCUGGAAGCGGGCGCAUGGCCGGCGCUGGAGCAGAGGCGGAGGCCCCGGCGCGUCCUUCUGCCCCGCAGCCUGAGCCCGGGUGGCUGGAGGGCUCCACUGCCCGAGGAUGGGAAUUCUCUUCACCCGGAUCUGGAGGCUGUUCAAUCACCAGGAGCACAAAGUUAUCAUUGUUGGGCUGGACAAUGCUGGGAAGACUACUAUCCUUUACCAGUUUUCCGUGAAUGUGAAUGAAAUUGUACAUACAUCUCCUACAAUAGGAAGCAAUGUGGAAGAGAUUGUGGUUAAUAAUACACGUUUCCUGAUGUGGGAUAUUGGUGGCCAAGAAUCCCUUCGUGCUUCCUGGAACACUUACUAUACUAACAAAGAGUUUGUAAUAGUUGUUGUGGACAGCACAGACAGAGAAAGAAUUUCUGUAACUAGAGAAGAGCUCUACAAAAUGCUAGCCCAUGAGGACCUAAGAAAAGCUGGGUUGCUGAUUUUUGCUAAUAAACAAGAUGUUAAAGAAUGCAUGACAGUAGCGGAAAUCUCCCAGUUUUUGAAGCUCACGUCUAUAAAAGACCACCAGUGGCAUAUCCAAGCAUGCUGUGCUCUUACUGGCGAGGGGUUAUGCCAAGGACUUGAAUGGAUGAUGUCACGCCUGAAGAUCAGAUGAUCUGUUCUGACCCCUUCUCACAGACUCUGUAUAAACAAAGUGCUGGACUUUUCCUGAAAGCUGCAAAAAAAUGGUUUAGAUAUAUUUAUAAUAAACUGACUUAAGAGUUUUCUAUAAGAAGAAAAUUAAGACCACUUAUUUGAAAACAAAGAUGAAAUGUCAUUACCCGGUUUGCUCUCUCAUUCCUUCCAAACCUGUGACUGAUAUUUUCUCAUGAUGAAUCCUCUCAGGACAUGGUAGAGCUCUGGCGAGUACAAAGGGAGAGGAGGACAUUGGAACUCUGGGACUUUAUCUCAACGUGACUCUCCCACCCUGCCCCACGUUGAAUGUUCCCUUCACAUUGAAUCAAAUACGAAUCAGCACAGAUACUGUUUCCAGGUUUUAAAAAUGUAAUAUUAUGGAAAGUAUUUUGCUUCAAGUUGAAUAUGUAUUGUGUAUAUACCUCAAGUUCAGGUUAAUGGCUUUGAUUUGUGCUCUAAAGCAAAGCAAAUAACACAGGUUAAUGGUAACUAUUCUCCUAAUNUCAUUGAGUACCACCUUUGGUGUUAAGUGUCACUGUUUACCCUCUGUUCUCUGUGUUGUCCUUAUAAGCCAACCCCAACCCACAGUUGUUAAGCUGCUCCUUAAAAAUGAGACAGGAGAAAGUGACACUGUAUACCUGUUGUUGUUGCUCAGUAAUCCAGAUGGAAAUAUAUAAUCCAAUUGGGUAAAGUGUCUGCCAGACUCCUGGCCAGGCGUGGCUGGGCAGAAUUACAGGGUAAGCAAUGGUCAGACUUUCUUUCUGUGAAUCCUUAUGCCAAUUCAUCUACUAAUUGGUCAUUCAUAAAUUGUGAUUAAAAUGAUCAGGUAAUUUUUAAUUGAAAAUCAUGGUGUGAAAUAUAUCUACCCAAAGAGGUAAUAUCCUAUAAAUAGUAGUAAUCAAUUUAGCUGCAACCUUUUUAGGUAUUAAAUUAUAUGAACAGUUAAAAUGAAUUUAAGAGUAAACAUAAGGCGUAGUUUUCAAUGAACAUUAAUAAUUUCUCAAUUUACAGAUUAGUGUCUGCAAAGGCUUUUUUACAUCUUCUUCCAUUGCAUAAUAUGCCUUGUGUAAAAGUUAAGAAAUCAUUCUGAAUGACUUCAAAAAUUUGAUCGAAAAUUUGGCAAAUUAUAUUAUUUGUACUAGAAUUUGACCUAAAACACUUUUUAUGUUUGUUAAAAUAUUUGUUUUUUUUAAAUUUAGUUAAAAAUUGAAGUAUUUGUCAUAAUUAUAAACAAACUUACUCUGUUUUACCAUAUUCCUGGUAGACUCUAUCAACUUUGUGUGCCCUGAAAACUUGAAGGCUACUCCAAACUGUCGAGAUUUAGGACAUCCAAGAAAAGGGUUAACUAGUUUUCAGUAUCAGACUUUAAAAUUUCUUAAAGAUUUUGGUAAGAAANAGAAGUCCACAUACAAGCAUUGAGGAAACUGAAACAUCUUUGUAAGACCCUUAAUGGCUAAAGCCAUUGGCUGCGCUGAGUGUUACUGUGCGAGGCUCUGUGUAUGAGAUCUGUGUUGUAAGGCUC